CAGCCGCCGCGGGAAUACGAAGGGGGCUAGCGUUGUUCGGAAUUACUGGGCGUAAAGCGCACGUAGGCGGAUACUUAAGUUAGGGGUGAAAUCCCAGGGCUCAACCCUGGAACUGCCUUUAAUACUGGGUAUCUAGGGUAUGGUAGAGGUGAGUGGAAUUCCGAGUGUAGAGGUGAAAUUCGUAGAUAUUCGGAGGAACACCAGUGGCGAAGGCGGCUCACUGGACCAUUACUGACGCUGAGGUGCGAAAGCGUGGGGAGCAAACAGGAUUAGAUACCCGCGUAGUCCCUGUCUCUUAUAC
rnacentral:rRNA from 1 species